rnacentral:rRNA from 1 species
UACGUAGGUGGCGAGCGUUGUCCGGAAUUACUGGGCGUAAAGAGCGCGCAGGCGGCUGGUCAAGUCCGACGUGAAAUCUCCCGGCUUAACUGGGAAAUUGCAUCGGAAACUGAUCGGCUUGAAGGUGGGAGAGGGUAGCGGAAUUCCCGGUGUAGUGGUGAAAUGCGUAGAUAUCGGGAGGAACACCAGUGGCGAAGGCGGCUACCUGGCCCAUUCUUGACGCUGAGGCGCGAAAGCUAGGGGAGCAAACGGG